ensembl:lncRNA
GGUCUAUAACUACAUAGACCAGCAGCUUUAUUCAGAAGCUACUGUGCAUAUAAACACUGUAAAUGUGUUUGUGUGUGUGUGCUUUUAUUUUUGACAGAGAUUUAUGAUGAGCUGUGUGCCAGGGGAGAGGAACCCGACCUGCUCUCUGUCCUCACAGUCCUUGCGUCCACUGUCAUCCCCGGUUUACCACCAGGGGGAGGCAUACAGAGCAAGUAAGAAAUCCAACUGUAUGAGCAUGAACAUGUGUAUGCUGCUUCAAAACUCCAUGUUUAAAGUGGUUUUUGUACUUCUUAUGUGUAUUACAGAAGGAACUGCAUUAUUUCUGCUUACUAUCAACAAAGAGAAACACACAAGCCAACAGUACCAAAUGGACUGGGAGGCUCCUGAGAUGUCCAGCAGAUCCAUAAAGAGACUGUAAUUAAUGUCAGUGUUUAAACUGUUUUCUUCAUUUGACAAAAAGGGAUAUGAUGAACAGACGGGGUGUUUGUUUACGUCAUGCCAGCAAAGAGCAUCUUGUCAAAACAAAUACAAUGCAAAAAUAAAUACAAUAAAGCUUGAUACACUUUAUAUUUGUACAAGGACAUUUUGUAAAACAUACUCAGAGACACUGACCUAGAAACAAACCUCUGCCUCACAUUCACUGAACAGAAAAUACAGACGAAAAUAUGGCCUGGAAACUGAACAUUAGGUUAUUAGGGCAACUGGAUGAUAAAGGUAUGAGAGUAAAGUUAGAAUAUUUUAAGAAAAAAUACGUGUUAUUUUAUUUUAUUUUAUUUUAUUUUAAGAAAAAGGCUUACUUGUGGAAGAGUUGUCAAAAUUACCAGCUGAACCAUACACAGAAGUUACUGUUUGUAUUUAAUGACAUGAGCCUUUACUGUUUUGUUAUAUUUUUGACAAGAUUCCUUAAUUUCUCUUAAGAAAUAUCAGAUAAUACUCUCAAGUGUAUUCCUCGAAAAUUGUUGCGUUUAUUGUAAAACAUGACUUUAUUCUCAUGAUAGAAUGGUUUAUUUCUUAAAAUAUUCUAACUUUAUUUUGAUCUGAUUAUGUUUAUCCUCAGUUUGGCCCUAAUAAUCCUUCGUAAAAUAUAAACCUACUGUGAAACUGUACAAUUUAAUGCGGUAAAAUAAGAAAUAGUAGUAUAUGUGGGGGUUGUAGUUCAAAGUUUUAUGUUUUAUGAAUAGAAAUUAGAAAAUAGACAUUUUAAGUCUGUUGAUCGACCUUCGCUGGUCUCAAGCUAGCAUGGAUCUAAUAAAUCCAUUUGUUUUUACAUGAAAUAUGAACAGUGUUAUCUCUUUGAGCCGAGGGGAAUGUACAAUUUUAUAUUUAUGGUCAAUUGAGAUAAGAUAAAUAAAUAUUUACUAUUGCGUUCAUUAAAUAUCAACACAUACACUGACAGAAUUGCACAAUAUAAGUAAAAAUACAUUUCACAAAUUGAAAUGUUUGUACUACAUUUUGUUGAACAUGUACAAUAAGAAAAGUCUAUUCAACUUAUUUAAUAGAAAUGAAAUGAUUAUUUACGUAAUAUGCUGAAGUUGGAUUUUUUUUUUUUUUUUUUUUUUUUUUACCAAAACAUGAAUUGAUUUGGGAAAAUUCAUCUGUAAAAUUUCAACAACUGGUGGAUUAAACUAAACUAGAUCAAUUCUAAACUCCUACAUGCACAGUUCAUUCUUUUUUAUCAUAUAUUUCUCAUUCAUUAGUACAGUGUAUGUGAAAUGUAUUUUUUCUAUAGGAGAUGGUUGAUACUGUAUGUACUGUGCUGCCUUAUUAUUAUCUUUUAUAAGAAAAAACAAACAGCAUCAACAUGUCUGAUUCAGAGCAGGUCCAUUAUCAUACUGUAUUGCUGUAUUAGUUUGCUGAGUAAUUUUCUGUGUAAAGACAUUGUAAGUUAAGAGUUAUGAUUGUUUUUAACCUAAAUAAAGAAUAUUUGACUGACUGGUUGUGGUAAUG